AAAGCCCCUGGCUCAACCAGGGAGGGUCAUUGGAAACUGGAGAACUUGAGUGCAGAAGAGGAAAGUGGAAUUCCAUGUGUAGCGGUGAAAUGCGUAGAUAUAUGGAGGAACACCAGUGGCGAAGGCGACUUUCUGGUCUGUAACUGACGCUGAGGCUCGAAAGCAUGGGGAGCAAACAGGAUUAGAUACCCUGGUAGUCCAUGCCGUAAACGAUGAGUGCUAAGUGUUGGAGGGUUUCCGCCCUUCAGUGCUGCAGCUAACGCAUUAAGCACUCCGCCUGGGGAGUACGACCGCAAGGUUGAAACUCAAAGGAAUUGACGGGGGCCCGCACAAGCGGUGGAGCAUGUGGUUUAAUUCGAAGCAACGCGAAGAACCUUACCAGGUCUUGACAUCCCUUGACCACUCUAGAGAUAGAGCUUUCCCUUCGGGGACAAAGUGACAGGUGGUGCAUGGUUGUCGUCAGCUCGUGUCGUGAGAUGUUGGGUUAAGUCCCGCAACGAGCGCAACCCUUAUUAUUAGUUGCCAGCAUUCAGUUGGGCAUUCUAGUGAGACUGCCGGUGAUAAACCGGAGGAAGGUGGGGAUGACGUCAAAUCAUCAUGCCCCUUAUGACCUGGGCUACACACGUGCUACAAUGGAUGGUACAACGAGUCGCAAAACCGCGAGGUUAAGCUAAUCUCUUAAAGCCAUUCUCAGUUCGGAUUGUAGGCUGCAAUUCGCCUACAUGAAGCCGGAAUCGCUAGUAAUCGCGGAUCAGAACGCCGCGGUGAAUACGUUCCCGGGCCUUGUACACACCGCCCGUCACACCACGAGAGUUUGUAACACCCAAAGUCGGUGAGGUAACCUUCGGGAGCCAGCCGCCUAAGGUGGGACAGAUAAUUGGGGUG
rnacentral:rRNA from 1 species